GAUGAACGCUAGCUACAGGCUUAACACAUGCAAGUCGAGGGGCAGCAUGAACUUAGCUUGCUAAGUUUGAUGGCGACCGGCGCACGGGUGCGUAACGCGUAUCCAACCUUCCCGUUACUCAGGUAUAGCCUUGCGAAAGUAAGAUUAAUCCCUGAUGACAUAUGUUUACUGCAUGGUGAGCAUAUUAAAGAUUUAUCGGUAACGGAUGGGGAUGCGUUCCAUUAGGUAGUUGGUGAGGUAACGGCUCACCAAGCCCGCGAUGGAUAGGGGUUCUGAGAGGAAGGUCCCCCACACUGGAACUGAGACACGGUCCAGACCCCUACGGGAGGCAGCAGUGAGGAAUAUUGGUCAAUGGUCGGAAGACUGAACCAGCCAAGUAGCGUGAGGGAUGACUGCCCUAUGGGUUGUAAAACCUCUUUUAUAUGGGAAUAAAAAAGAUUACGUGUAGUCUAUUGUAUGUACCUUAUGAAUAAGCAUCGGCUAACUCCGUGCCAG
rnacentral:rRNA from 1 species